AUGAAGGCCAGGAACUACCUCCAGUCUCUACCCCAGAAACCGAAAGUCCCAUGGAGCAAACUGUUCACCAAAGCAGACAACAAAGCUCUGGAUUUAUUGGACCGCAUGUUGACCUUUAACCCCAUCAAACGUAUAACCGUGGAGGAAGCAUUGGCCCACCCCUACCUGGAGCAGUACUAUGACCCUUCUGAUGAGCCGGUGGCUGAGGAGCCUUUCACUUUCAACAUGGAGCUGGACGACCUUCCUAAAGAGAAGCUG